UUCCUUUUUUCCUUUCCUUUCCUUUCUCUUCCUCUUGUCUCUUUUUAUUGAAAGACUUGUUCUGAUCUUUUCUUUACCUUAGAAAUGGGGCAGACACUAGCUCAUCUUGCGCACAGGAGAUGUUAUGUUUGAGAGCUAUCUUUAUUAAUUUUUAAAAUUUAAAAAAAAAAAAAAAAAAAAA
rnacentral:ribozyme from 13 species